rnacentral:rRNA from 1 species
UAAAAGGUCCCGCCUGCCCCGUGACUAUAUGUUUAACGGCCGCGGUAUUUUAACCGCGCAAAGGUAGCGCAAUCACUUGUCUUUUAAAUGAAGACCCGUAUGAAUGGCUCAACGAGGGCUUAACUGUCUCCUGCUUCAAGUCAAUGAAAUUGAUCCCCCCGUGCAGAAGCGGGGAUGAACACAUAAGACGAGAAGACCCUAUGGAGCUUUAGACACUAAGAAAGACCAUGUCACCCAUCCCUAAAUAUGGGACUAAACUAGUGGGAGCCUUUACCUAAUGUCUUUGGUUGGGGCGACCGCGGAGAAUCAACAAACCCCCGCGUGGAAUGGGCGCACCUGUUCCCCGAAGGAAGAGCUGCAGCUCUACCCAGCAGUACUUCUGACCUCUAAAUGAUCCGGCACAGCCGAUUAACGGACCUAGUUACCCUAGGGAUAACAGCGCAAUCCCCUCCUAGAGUUCAUAUCGACGAGGGGGUUUACGACCUCGAUGUUGGAUCAGGACAUCCUAAUGGUGCAGCCGCUAUUAAGGGUCCGUUUGUUCAACG